rnacentral:rRNA from 1 species
AUUGAACGCUGGCGGCAGGCUUAACACAUGCAAGUCGAGCGGGGGAAGGUAGCUUGCUACCGGACCUAGCGGCGGACGGGUGAGUAAUGCUUAGGAAUCUGCCUAUUAGUGGGGGACAACAUCUCGAAAGGGAUGCUAAUACCGCAUACGUCCUACGGGAGAAAGCAGGGGAUCUUCGGACCUUGCGCUAAUAGAUGAGCCUAAGUCGGAUUAGCUAGUUGGUGGGGUAAAGGCCUACCAAGGCGACGAUCUGUAGCGGGUCUGAGAGGAUGAUCAGCCACAAUGGGACUGGGACACGGCCCAGACUUCUACGGGAGGGAGCAGUGGGGAAUAUUGGACAAUAGGGGAAAAGCUGGUCCAGGCAUGCCGGGGGGGGGAAGAAGGCCCUACGGUUGGAAAGGACCUUAAGCGAGGAGGAGGCUACUUUAGUUAAUACCUAGAGAUAGUGGACGUUACUAGCAGAAUAAGCACCGGCUAACUCUGUG